rnacentral:lncRNA from 10 species
UAGAAUGCCUUGAAUACUAUUGGGCGCUAAAAUAUUUGAAGGUAGAAAAGUGACAAAAGGAAAGAGAAGGAGACUUAAGGCCUGGAGGUGCUGCAGCCAUCUUAUAACCAUUAAGGGGCAGCCUGUUCUAAGAAGCCAAAAUAAUAGAAAAGAACAGAGACUGGCGAGAAGAAGAGAAGCAGGGACAUGAAGUGACAGUUUGAAACGUUGCAUCCUGACACAUCUGAAGACAUCCC